rnacentral:lncRNA from 1 species
AAGUUAAAUUUGUGGCACAAAAACCUAAAACGACACUCUUUUUGGGAUGGAGAGAGUAUGAAUCUGGCCAAAUAUAAAAGCUAUCAUUGAUUUCAUAAAUAUGAAAAAUUCGAAACUGAUCAUUUUUCUUUCUAUACUAUAUUAUUAUUUUAAUCCCAACCUAUUGUCUUUCAUGGCUGACUUGAACUGAUACAUGAGUUGUCCAUCUCAUAAGAAUCAGGGACCGAGAGGUUUUUUCAAAAACGAGAAUCAACAAAUUUUGGUUUUGGUCGUUUUGGUUUGGUUCUACCUAUAACCGAACUAAUCAAGUUCUUAUAUAGGUUUACCAAGCUAAGAAAAAAAGAAAAUAAAAAGCGGUUGUCACCGUUUAAAGGAUGUAAUAGACAUAAAAAAAUAAGACGAUGUAGUAGACACAAAAAAAGAAGACGAUGCACAGUUGCACCGUCCAAAGGAUAGGAAAGGCCUAGAGAAGGGGAGGUAAAUUGGCUUGUAAAAACUUAAAACUCAAUUCAACGGAUUAGCAUAAUGCGGAGGUUCCACAAAUUCUCGCGGAAGUUUUAAAAUGAUAGGUAGUGAGCAUUUGAUUCCUCAUAAGCUUAUCACUUUAUGUCUCUCUUAAUGGUAUGACUUUUCCUAUACUCAAAUUUAAAAUAGAAAUUGGAUGUAAGCCUUUAUUUGGCCAAAUGUAGAGAAAUGUUAUCAUAAUAUAGUAAAUAAUUCAAGUUGAGUGAUGGAUGAUAUGAGCAUGCUAGGGUGUGUAGCUUUCAAUGAACAGGGAUUUAGAGUGUACAAAGACACUGCUUAGAACAUACACGCAUCAAUGAACUAAGUUUUUACUUCAAAUUAAACAGAUUAAAAAAUGUUGGACCAAUAAGCACCCACCUAGAUAGUUGUCAUAUCAAAUUGGAUAAAUUAGAAGAUGUUGGACUGAUAUGCACCCACUUAAUUAGUUGUUGUAUGGUGAGUGCAAUUUACUCUUUAUUAUAUCUACAAAUAUAUGGCACUAUGAGAUGUCAUCUAAAAAAUGCAUAAUUCAACAAUUUCAAUCUGAGCUACUAAAUAUAAUAGAGUGGAUAAAUAAUAUAGGGCCU